UAGGAUUUAUCUAUGGUUUAGUUAGGAUUUAGGAUUUGGUUUAGGAUUUGGUUAGAAUUAAGAUUUGGUGUAGGAUUUGAUUAGGAUUAGGAUUUUUUUAGAAUUUGGUUUAGAACUUGACUAAAAAUUGAUUAGAGUGUGUCUAAGAUUUGUCUAAGAUUUAGGAUUUCAUUAGGAUCUGACCUAAGAUUUGGUUAAGAUUCAAUUACGAUUUCUAUUAGGAUUUCUAUUAGGAUUUAUCUUAGGAAUUUAUUAAGAUUUAAUUAAGAUUUUUAUUUUU
rnacentral:lncRNA from 1 species